CCGUAGGCGGCCCUCUUUCUCCUUCUUUCCUGGUCUUCCCUUUCGUUCCUUCUUUUUUCUCCUUUCUUUUUUCCCCCUCCCCUUCUUCCCCGGGCUCUUCCAAUGAAGACUGGUCAGCUAGAGGACGGUAGAGGGGUGUGGAAUUCCGGGUGUAGUGGUGAAAUGCGUAGAGAUCCGGAGGAACACCAGAGGCGAAGGCGACACCCUGGGCCGUACCUGACGCUAAGACGCGACAGCACGGGGAGCGAACGG
rnacentral:rRNA from 1 species